GAUGCCGGAAAUGCUCCCGGCAGACUGAGAACUGUAUAAAAGGUCGCACAAAUGAGGAGGUUUUAAUCACUUCUUGCCUUCUCUCUUUGGUGAGCCAGGUUCGCCUCCAGCACAGCAAGAUGUCUGACAGCCUGGACAUGUUGGAAGACCUGCACUACCAGGACUCAUCUUGUUGUUGGAGACCCCCCUGUAGAAGGCGAUGUUGGUGUUGUUGCUAUGAUCCAUGCACUGGACAGCUAAUUUGGCAGGGUAUGUGCUGGUGCCCAGGGUGGCGCAGUAGGGGCAGAUAUGGAAGGUGCUGGCCAUGCUAAAUCCAGUUCGAAUAUUGAUGGCACUUGGAGCAACACGGACAUGAAACGCAAGAUACAGAUUGACGGCUGACCCGACAGACAUGACUUGGAGCAGUGCUAAGCACUCAGUACCUCCAGUGUGAGAGCUCGCCAUUGCUACAAGACUCCCUCCCCCAUUCUCCUGUCUCCUACCCUUUGCUUUGUUACUCCAGCAACUUUGUAUUCCCUGCACUGUUAAGCAUUAAGGCCUCUUCAUGCUGUGCUGUCAUUUAAAAGGAAGCCUCUGCUUCCCUAGAGUCCACUUGUAAUCCACUGCAGAGCACUUGACACAGCCACAGACGUGUAGAAGAUGUUUGGUGACAACAGGUGUAUAAUCCCGGCUGCGGCCCUUUGGAAAAACUUCAAAACAUUUCCUGUCUCCUCUGAAUCCCUUCUGUGUCUGUGUUCUCAAUUUCUUCUGUACAUUAAACUUCCUCUGCAGCAUAA